AUUGAACGCUGGCGGCAGGCCUAACACAUGCAAGUCGAACGAGUGGCGGACGGGUGAGUAAUGUCUGGGCAACUGCCCGAUGGAGGGGGAUAACUGCUGGAAACGGUAGCUAAUACCGCAUACCAUCGGAUGUGCCCAGAUGGGAUUAGCUAGUAGGGGUGGUAAAGGCUAACCUAGGCGACGAUCCCUAGCUGGUCUGAGAGGAGGACCGGCCAAACUGGAACUGAGACACGGCCCAGACUCCUACGUGAGGCAGCAGUGGGGAAUAUUGCACAAUGGGCGCAAGCCUGAUGCAGCAAUGUCGCGUGUAUGAAGAAGGCCUUCGGGUUGUAAAGUACUUUUAGCGGGGAGGCGUUACCCGCAGAAGAAGCACCGGCUAACUCCGUGCCAGCAGCCGCGGUAAUAC
rnacentral:rRNA from 1 species